rnacentral:misc_RNA from 1 species
CCUAAGAGAUACGUGUUAUGUGAAGUGCUCACACAGAUUGUCUGAUGAAGAACGAGCAAAAGCGCGUCUGCGAAGCUGACAGAAGUCCCCUUCGUCUAGAGGCCUAGGACACCGCCCUUUCACGGCGGUAACAGGGGUUCGAAUCCCCUAGGGGACGCCAAUGCGCGGUAUGAGUGAAAGGCGUACCACUUAUCUGACGAGAGUCAGAGAAUAACUAAGCUAAUUCAAACGAGUUAUCUUACUUAUUAUGCUCUUUAACAAUCUGGAACAAGCUGAAAAAUUGAAAACAAAUCAAUAUAUCAACGAGGUAUAUUGGUGAGUCUCUCAAAAUCUCAAACCUUAAAGGUUGUCACGCAAAGUUUAUCUUUGAAAGAGACACUUUCGGGUUGUGA